GGAGAAGGGCCUUAGCCAAGUGGAAGGGCACCUGCCUUGCAUGCAGAAGGUCCCAGGUUCAAUCCCUGGCAUCUCCA